GCACUCGUAGUGUAGUGGUUAACAUACUCGCUUCCCAAGCGAGUGGCCCGAGUUCGAACCUCGGCGGGUGCA